AGGAAAGCUUGCUUUCCUUGAUGACGACUGGCGCACGGGUGAGUAACGCGUAUCCAACCUUCCCAUAACUACGGGAUAACCCGUUGAAAGACGGCCUAAUACCGUAUGAUAUCGUUUGCUGACAUCAAAUAACGAUUAAAGGUUUAGCGGUUAUGGAUGGGGAUGCGUCUGAUUAGCUUGUUGGCGGGGUAACGGCCCACCAAGGCUACGAUCAGUAGGGGUUCUGAGAGGAAGGUCCCCCACAUUGGAACUGAGACACGGUCCAAACUCCUACGGGAGGCAGCAGUGAGGAAUAUUGGUCAAUGGGCGAGAGCCUGAACCAGCCAAGUAGCGUGCAGGAUGACGGCCCUAUGGGUUGUAAACUGCUUUUAUGUGGGGAUAAAGUGCGUGACGUGUCAUGCAUUGCAGGUACCACAUGAAUAAGGACCGGCUAAUUCCGUGCCAGCAGCCGCGGUAAUACGGAAGGUCCGGGCGUUAUCCGGAUUUAUUGGGUUUAAAGGGAGCGUAGGCUGUCUAUUAAGCGUGUUGUGAAAUAUACCGGCUCAACCGGUGGCUUGCAGCGCGAACUGGUCGACUUGAGUAUGCAGGAAGUAGGCGGAAUUCAUGGUGUAGCGGUGAAAUGCUUAGAUAUCAUGACGAACUCCGAUUGCGCAGGCAGCUUACUGUAGCAUAACUGACGCUGAUGCUCGAAAGUGCGGGUAUCAGACAGGAUUAGAUACCCUGGUAGUCCGCACGGUAAACGAUGGAUGCUCGCUAUUCGUCCCUUUUGGAUGAGUGGCCAAGUGAAAACAUUA
rnacentral:rRNA from 1 species